AGUUUGAUCCUGGCUCAGAACGAACGCUGGCGGCAUGCCUAACACAUGCAAGUCGAACGAAGGCUUCGGCCUUAGUGGCGCACGGGUGCGUAACGCGUGGGAAUCUGCCCUUGGGUUCGGAAUAACAGCGGGAAACUGCUGCUAAUACCGGAUGACGACGAAAGUCCAAAGAUUUAUCGCCUGAGGAUGAGCCCGCGUUGGAUUAGGUAGUUGGUGGGGUAAAGGCCUACCAAGCCGACGAUCCAUAGCUGGUCUGAGAGGAUGAUCAGCCACACUGGGACUGAGACACGGCCCAGACUCCUACGGGAGGCAGCAGUGGGGAAUAUUGGACAAUGGGCGAAAGCCUGAUCCAGCAAUGCCGCGUGAGUGAUGAAGGCCUUAGGGUUGUAAAGCUCUUUUACCCGGGAUGAUAAUGACAGUACCGGGAGAAUAAGCCCCGGCUAACUCCGUGCCAGCAGCCGCGGUAA
rnacentral:rRNA from 1 species